CAAUGAAACCAAACUUCCCCUAUUGGUAGGGAAAUGCCCACUUUUGGUGUAGGUCAAGAUUUCUGGAAACCCCCGAAAUCUGGGUUAGCCCGCUUGUUCUUAAAAGCUACCAGUUGAUGUGCUCUGUGAAAAGCAGGAUUCUGAAACAGUCUCUUCUUGUCAUAAAAAUAAAACCGAUGGCCAAGGGCUAUUUUAGUAGGGUUGUUUUGUUUUUUCCCUCGAUUAUUUCCUGUGUCGCUGCCUGUGUUUGGAAUUACUGGCACCUUUUGACACCUUUUGACCUCUCGCUUUCUUCUUGCGCUUCCAUGUCACAUGUUGCUCAGGGCCAUGUGUUUCUUUGUGUGAGUGGUUGCAAAAAAAAGUGAGAAAGCUGGAAAAAGAGUCACAUCAGAGCAACUGCUAGCCACUGGCACUAAUGUUGAAAAGAAUGUUUGUGCUAGGAAGUAAAAUGCUUGGUGAUGGUACAAGUUCUAAGACCAAAGCAGACCCAAGCUCUUCAAGCUUUUCUCACUUGUCACUCGAGGGAGCAGAAUGUGCUAAGGUGGGUGGUUGACGGGUGCUCUGGUGUGGUUUGCUUCUUCUUUCCUAUCAAACAUCUAUCGUUUUUAUCUCCCCUCCUUUUUUUGUGUGUUUGUUACUCUCUUGUAACACCUCUAAUCUGCAGCACUUAUAUAUGACCUUAUUGUGUUGCAAGUGCCGUAAAACUCGUUACUAAAACAAAAAAACAGACAGUGUCCUGAUACAUUUUUUUUUAAACGCAGGGGGGGAACGGGAAAUGGUGGUUUGUACGGGUGAUUGUCUCUGACAGGUAGCUGCCAGAGCAGGUACGAUUGUAUUUCAAUAUUGAAGUCUUGUCCACCUCUAGUCUCUAGGUGGGACAGUGAAUUAAAAAUUUAUCUUCUGAGUGCAAGAGCUCAGGGUAUAUAUGUAGAAGAAAACUCCAUUGUUUGAAAAUUUGAUGGCGAGUGAAGUGGUGACCAAAUGAGUCGGUGGCCUGUGGCACUCAGAUGUUUAGAGGUAUCCGGCUAGACCUUGAGUUUUCUCAAAUCUGAGAAUUUCCGAUUCCCCUGUGUCAAGUGAUGACUAUAAUUUUGGGAACUAAAGCAGCUAGACUAAUAGGCCUACUGGCUUUACUCGUUUGUCGCGUUUGAAUAGAUCGUUAAUUUGAAUCUUGAUACCCUUACUUAGUGUAAUGAUACUGUCAAAAUGUGACUCAUUCUGUUGUGUUAGUACACACAUCUGAUUGGUUGUGCUAGUGGUAUUGGAAAAUGGAAGGUACUUUUUAUACCAGCUGCUAUUGGAAAAUGGAAGGUUCUUUCUAUACCAGCUGCUAAUGGAAGGUACUUUCUAUACCAGCUGGCUAGUGCUACUGGAAAAUGGAAGGUACUUUCUAUACCAGCUGCUAUUGGAAAAUGGAAGGUUCUUUCUAUACCAGCUGCUAGUGGAAGGUACUUUCUAUACCAGCUGGCUAGUGCUACUGGAAAAUGGAAGGUACUUUCUAUUCCGGCUGCUAGUGCUACUGGAAAAUGGAAUGUUCUUUCUAUACCAGUCAGCUGCUAGUGUUGCUGGAAAAUGGAAGUUUUUUCUAAUAUUUCUAUGCCAGCUACUAGCGCUACUGGGGGUUCUAGAAUGCUGUAGAAGGUGCGAUUGAUUGAUCAUCCUGAUGUGAAGCUUGAGUCCUUGCUUGGUGUUUAUAUUGUAUAUUUGUGAGUGUCCCAACUGGUUCGGUUUUUUUCUUUUUAAGCAUGACCUUCAUUCAGAUCAUUCUUUUUUAGUUGUUUCACCAGGAGUUGACCGUAUCUGCAUCAGAGUUUGUUUUUUCAGCCCAUUGUUCUUUAUGGGUGGUUUUUUCCCCUCGUCAUUCUUCUUAGCGACUGAAAGAAGAUGUGCCUGAUGAAUUGAAUGUUGAUAGAUGGUAUAUUUACUUGCACGUGUAUGAUGUACUAGUACGUAUAUAUAUAUAUAUAAAUGAAAAAUGUUCACUUGAGCAUGUGUGUUUGCGAUAAGUGCAACAGGCGUCUCUAUUGAGUCUGGGUCCUAAUCAUGUGUGAAUGUAUUUAAGAAGCAAUGAUAAACUAGAAGAGUGAAGUCAACACAUAACACAAUAGAUGGUUUGAUUUGAGGUGUGAGAUGUUGGUCCUCCACUCUCCCACUCCUCCUAUGCCUGUUUCUAUAUUAUGAAUAUAUAAAUACAUUUAUAAAUACUUGAUGAUUCUUGUGUGUAUGUAAAGUUUCAAAUUGAAGCAUAGGCCAGGCCAUAGCCCUCUCCUAACUUUUUUGAAGAAAAAAAAGGUCAUAGGUAUCUGCCACCGUUUCAAGAGCGCAGGGUCGGAAGGGCGUAUUGGAGCAAGAAACAUGAGAGGGGUAAUCAUCAGUAUGUGUGUGUGACGUAGUGUGUGUGUACGAGAGUGGAGGUGGGAGCAGCGUGUCACGAGGGCAUUUUUUUUGUCGUGUUUGACGCUGGAGAAUGGAGAAAGGCUCCAGUCGUUGCAGCUUGAGAGGGGUGUGGCACAUUAUCAGGCUUGGCCUACGCUUCUCAAUUUGAUAUUUUACAGGAAUGUACAUCGUUUUAAAGCGUAAAUAAAUACAAAUUGAAUUUCACCCCCAUGCACUUGUCAAACUUGUCAUUUGUUCAGGAAAAUAAUUAAAAAGAAAUUCUCAAGCGUGA